ensembl:lncRNA
CACUGAUGAGAUCACAGGUCUAGUUGUUCAAAACUGUGUUUACUCAUGUGUAUACAUGUUUUCCCUUCAUAGAAUGAAGGCUCCUUGAGGAACUUUGUUUCAUUCUUUGUAUCAUCCUGUGCUUAGCAAAGUGCCUAGAAGGUAGAUCUAUAAUGCUUCUUGAAAGUCACUGAACUGCCAGGCCUAGAGAUGGGAGGUCCUGGGUUCAAAUGUGGCCUCAGACACUUCCCAGCUGUGUGACCCUGGGCAAGUCACUUAACCCCCAUUGUCUAGCCCUUACUGCUCUUCUGCCUUAGUGCCAAUACACAGUAGUGAUUCUAAGAUCUAGUAAGGGUUUAAAAACAAAAGAAAUUCAUUGAACCAAACAAAUGUGUUCACUGAACUGAAUUAUCUCUCUUCCAUUAUAGCUCAAAACUCUCAAUUCUGUCAAAUACAAUUUCAAUAGGGUUGGCCAAACCCUUUAAAAUGUAAAUAUCCCUAACAGAUUGAUACAUUAAAGGGAAUGGUGUGCAGAAUUCCUAUCCCUGUGCAAAGAUCUGGAGGAUAGAGAGUCUGGAAAGGAAACUGAUAGAACCAGCCUAGUUUGGCCUCCCUGGCUUUUCCCUCAAGGCCACCUCAGGUUUCCAGGGGAGUGGGUCCACUAGACCGAAUCUGGGGUUUACUUUCCCAAGAACCUGGAAAAGAUGGAGACUUUGUAGAUGUUUCUAGGCCCAGGCAUGGGGGAAAACCACCCUCCCUUGUUCCUUCCUCCCAUCCACCCAAACACACACACCCAAUACCCCAGUUGCCCUGACAGCAGUUUACAUUGUGAGGUGGCUCUGGGUAUAGGUUAAGAUGUCCUGGGUUUUUUUAUGGAGGAAGGGACAGUGUGGUGGAAAAAGCGUGCUUAUCAUUGGGAAGCUCGGAGAAGACAGAUGGCUCUAGACAGGAGAAGACACUAUCAACUUCAACAGGAACUGAAGAAUAAAGCGAUUGACAGUGAUCUGGAAGAACAAAGAUAUUGCAUGGGACUUGAACCCUAUCAGAGAUAUCACUCUCCAAGCCCGGAAGCCCGUUACCCAUAUGGCAACCUGAGCCCUGAGCCCUCUCACCGGAACUCUGGCCUGUACGCCCCCGACGAUACUCCGGAAGACCUGCGGGGCAACUACAUCUUUCCUGAACACCGGGGGGUAAGCCUACGACCAGGAUGACGAGGAAGAUCAGGAGCAGGGCCAGAGCAAGCGGGAGAGGGGUCGGGACCGGGGCCGGGAGGACCGAGACCUAUGCAAGAGCCAUCGACCCAGCAAGAGCCAGGUCCGGAAUCGGGAACAGGGCCAUUAUCAAAAUGGGAAAGGUAGUCACCACCACAAAUCUCACCUCGGAGGUCAUCACAGUCACCAACAAGCGGCCACUCCACGUCCCCAAGAAUACAAACACAGUAAGUACAGUUGGUCCCUAGAGCUGGGGGGUAGGUCGAGAGAGGCUGAGCAGGGGUGGCCCCCCCAGGGAGGCAGGAUGGGGCCUCCCAGCUCCCUUUCCUCUGGAAACAGGCCGGCUUAAGAGAAAAACUGUGGGUGGCCCCCCUUGCCUACAUUCACACCUCAAGAUUUCUCAAACACCGCUAUGCAGGCAGGGAGUUGGAGGUCAGCA